rnacentral:rRNA from 1 species
GUGGGGAAUAUUGGACAAUGGGGGGAACCCUGAUCCAGCCAUGCCGCGUGUGUGAAGAAGGCCUUUUGGUUGUAAAGCACUUUAAGCGAGGAGGAGGCUACCGAGAUUAAUACUCUUGGAUAGUGGACGUUACUCGCAGAAUAAGCACCGGCUAACUCUGUGCCAGCAGCCGCGGUAAUACAGAGGGUGAAAGCGUUAAUCGGAUUUACUGGGCGUAAAGCGCGCGUAGGUGGACAAUUAAGUCAAAUGUGAAAUCCCCGAGCUUAACUUGGGAAUUGCAUUCGAUACUGGUUGGCUAGAGUAUUGGAGAGGAUGGUAGAAUUCCAGGUGUAGCGGUGAAAUGCGUAGAGAUCUGGAGGAAUACCGAUGGCGAAGGCAGCCAUCUGGCCUAAUACUGACACUGAGGUGCGAAAGCAUGGGGAGCAAACAGGAUUAGAUACCCCUGUAGUCC